UAUUGGCCAUGUUUAUGCAAGGUACUGUAACCCAGUUUGUUCAGGUCCUAUCCCCUGACCAAUCUGCUAUCCUAACCAUAACCACUCAAGGUCAAUGCCUAACCCCGACCUAUCGAGCUGCUUCGUAGGGGCCGGUCUUUCGUGGCC